rnacentral:rRNA from 1 species
AGCGAACGCUGGCGGCAGGCUUAACACAUGCAAGUCGAACGGUCCUUCGGGAUAGUGGCGGACGGGUGAGUAACACGUGGGAACGUACCCUUAGGUUCGGAACAACACAGGGAAACUUGUGCUAAUACCGGAUAGCCCUUCGGGGGAAAGAUUUAUCGGCUUUGGAGCGGCCCGCAUCUGAUUAGCUUGUUGGUGAGGUAAAGGCUCACCAAGGCUACGAUCAGUAGCUGGUCUGAGAGGAUGGCCAGCCACACUGGGACUGAGACACGGCCCAGAAUUCUACGGGAGGCAGCAGUGGGGAAUCUUUGGCAAUGGGCGAAAGCCUGACGCAGCCAUGCCGCGUGGAUGAUGAAGGUCUUAGGAUUGUAAAAUCCUUUCACCGGGGACGAUAAUGACGGUACCCGGAGAAGAAGCCCCGGCUAACUUCGUGCCAGCCGCCGCGGUAA